AUGGAAAUGGCAGCGGCGGCUGCCGGCGCCGGUGCGGGCCGGCUGGAGGUGGUGGUCUUCCCGUGGCUGGCGUUCGGGCACAUGAUCCCUUUUCUGGAGCUCUCCAAGCGCCUCGCCGCAAGGGGCCACGCCGUCGCCUUCGUGUCAACCCCGCGGAACCUCGCCAGGCUGCCGCCCAUGCCGGCGCACCUGUCUGCCCGCAUCCGCUUCGUGGCGCUGCCGCUGCCGGCUGUGGAGGGCUUGCCGGAGGGCGCCGAGGCCACGUCUGACCUGCCGCCCGACAAGGUCGAGCUGCUCAAGAAGGCCAUGGACGGCCUCGCCGGCCCGCUCGCGUCGUUCCUCGCGGACGCCGUCGCCGCCGGCAGGAGGCCCGACUGGGUCAUCCUCGACUUCUGCCACCACUGGGUCCCGCCCGUCGCCGACCAGCACAAGGUGCCAUGCGCGGCGUUCCUGAUCUUCCAUGCCGCCUGCAUGGCCUUUAUUGGGCCGCGGUGGGCGAACGACGACGCGUACCCACGCACGAAGCCAGAGGACUUCACCGUGCCACCAAAGUGGAUCCCCUUCCCGUCCACCACCGUCUUCCUCCACCACGAGGCCCGGCGGAUGCUCGCGGAUAACUUCGGUGAGAACGCGUCAGGCAGGUCGGACACUGACCGUUUGUGGGACGUCUUCGAGCGUUGCUGCCUCACCAUCCACCGGAGCUGUCGCGAGCUGGAGCCUCGCAUGUUCACCCUCCUCUCUGAUCUCUUGCGGAAGCCCGCCGUCCCCGCCGGGAUCCUUCUACCGGAGGCGGUUGAGGACCGUGAUCAAGACCACCGGCAGAGCAGCUCAGGUGGCGUCCUGCGUUGGCUCGACGACCAGCCUCCUAAGUCUGUCCUCUACGUCGCGCUGGGAAGCGAGGCGCCACUGACGCUAGAGAACAUCCAUGAACUCGCGCUCGGACUGGAGCUCGCCGGGGUGCACUUCCUUUGGGCGCUACGCAAGCCGGCCGGCACCAACAACGAGCAGGAGCUGUUGCCGGCCGGCUUCGAGGAGCGGAUGCAGGACCGUCGGAUGGUCUGCACAGGGUGGGUGCCGCAGGUGAAGGUACUCGGUCACGGCGCCACGGCCGCGUUCUUGACGCACUGCGGGUGGGGCUCCACCAUUGAGAGCUUCGCCUUCGGGCUUCCGCUGGUCAUGCUGCCUUUCCUCACCGACACGCCUAUGAUUGCACGGGAGAUGGCGAAAAGAGGGAUCGGUGUGGAGGUGGCGAGGGACGAUAGCGAUGGCUCGUUCGACAGGGACGGUGUCGCAGUGAACGUGCGGCAUGUCAUGGUGGAGGAUGAAGGAAACGUGUUUUCAGGGGCGGAGCCAGGAUUUGGACAUAGGGGGGGCCAAGCAAAGUUGGAAAAAAAAAUACCGCUUCCUUGCUAUAGAGUAUAG
rnacentral:rRNA from 1 species